UACGGAGGGGGCUAGCGUUGUUCGGAAUUACUGGGCGUAAAGCGCACGUAGGCGGCUUUGUAAGUUAGAGGUGAAAGCCCAGGGCUUAACCCUGGAAUUGCCUUUAAGACUGCAUCGCUAGAAUUGUGGAGAGGUAAGUGGAAUUCCGAGUGUAGAGGUGAAAAUUCGUAGAUAUUCGGAAGAACACCAGUGGCGAAGGAC
rnacentral:rRNA from 1 species